rnacentral:rRNA from 1 species
AUUGAACGCUGGCGGCAGGCCUAACACAUGCAAGUCGAACGAGUGGCGGACGGGUGAGUAAUGUCUGGGAAACUGCCUGAUGGAGGGGGCUAACGACUGGAAACGGUAGCUAAUACCGCAUACAAUCAGAUGUGCCCAGCUGGGAUUAGCUAGUUGGUGGGGUAAAGGCUCACAAAGGCGACGCACCAUAGCUGGUCUGAGAGGAUGACCAGCCACACUGGGACGGAGACACGGUCCAGACUCCUACGGGAGGCAGCAGUGGGGAAUAUUGCCCAAUGGGCGCAAGCCUGAUGCAGCCAUGCCGCGUGUAUGAAGCAGGCCUUCGGGUUGUAAAGUACUUUCAGCUGGGAGGCGUUACCCGCAGAAGAAGCACCGGCUAACUCCGUGCCAGCAGCCGCGGUAAUUC